GCUCAAGUGGUCUAACGGUUAUGAUGCGACCUUCCCAAUGCAUUUAACGAGUAGGUCGCGAACGGGGUUCGACUCCCCGCUUGAGCA